rnacentral:sRNA from 1 species
AUUCCAGAGCUCUCAUGUUCUGCACCUCAGGAGGGAAUUCAGCCUCAGUGAUGUCCAUGAGGCCUGUCCCAGGCUCUCUAUCUUCUCUGCUACAUCUCCACAACAGACAGAGACAGCCCAUGCCAGCCUCCAUGCCUGGGACCCUGCCCAACCCUACAAUGCCAGGAUCUUCCGCCGUCUUGAUGCCAAUGGAGCGACAAAUGUCAGUGAACUCCAGCAUCAUGGGGAUGCAAGGUCCAAAUCUCAGCAACCCCUGUGCUUCUCCCCAGGUCCAGCCAAUGCAUUCAGAAGCCAAAAUGUUGUUGUGAAAUACCCGCCAUGCCAAGACAGAGUUCUUCCUUCUGGAUGCAUUUGCAAUCUUACAAAGAGCUUCUGGUGACUCAGAAAAUCCCAUGCGUCCAUUUUCCAAAUUGGAUGUUAUGUGAUUAAAAAUAAAUGUAAAUCACACAGAGACUUUGGUGUGCUUCUGAAAAUUCCCAUGUCAGGAGUUGGCAUGUAUCAACCAUGUGUAGGUGUGUGUGUGCUCACUAAUACUGUGUGAGCGUUUAGGACCUUAUUUGAGAAGUUCUUUCCUGGAAGAAGA